rnacentral:tRNA from 1 species
GGUCCCGUAGUUAAAUGGACAUAACGGAUCCCUCCUAAGGAUCAGAUGCAGGUUCGAUUCCUGCCGGGAUCA